AAUGAACGUUGGCGGCGUGGAUUAGGCAUGCAAGUCGAGCGUGAUAGGUUUGGUGCUUGCAUUAAUCCUUGAAAGCGGCGAAAGGGACAGUAACGCGUAGAUACCUACCUCCAGGUCCGGGAUAGCGGCGGGAAACUGCCGGUAAUACCGGAUAAUGUCUUCGGACCAAAGGUGUGAUUCCGCUUGGAGACGGAUCUGCGUCCUAUUAGCUAGUUGGGGGGGUAAUGGCCCACCAAGGCGAUGAUGGGUAGCGGGCGUGAGAGCGGGGCCCGCGUCACUGGGACUGGGACACUGCCCAGACACCUACGGGUGGCUGCAGUCGAGAAUCUUCGGCAAUGGGCGCAAGCCUGACCGAGCGACGCCGCGUGCGGGAUGAAGGCCUUCGGGUUGUAAACCGCUGUCGGAGAGGCGGAAAUCUCUAGGGGUUCUCCCCUGGAGUUGACCUAAUCUCGGAGGAAGUCCGGGCUAAGUUCGUGCCAGCAGCCGCGGUAACAC
rnacentral:rRNA from 1 species